UUCUAAUGUUCAAAUGAAUGUUCCAAACUUCUUUCAGAAGAAAGUUAAAAUCAACAUUAUGUUACCAUGAAGUUUCAUGUCCAUUUUAGUACAACUGCUAAGGGGAUCCUUGAAGAAGCGAUGAAUGAAAACUUACCAAAGAAGUAAAAAACGGACGGCCAUCCGUAUGAACUACCGGCCAGAAGACCACUUAUUGAGUUCGCAAAAACUGUUCCCCACAGAAGACCUGCAUGAGAGGAUCAUGGAUUCAAUUUUAUCAUGUGGAACAAAUGGAAACGUCCCCACUGUUGGAAAAGUUUGAUCCAAACUUCACCACAAUCACAUCAAUAAAUGUUUUUCAUCCGACAAAGAGCAUUCUUGGCGCUGGAAAUUCUAGUGGCAAAAUUUAUAUAUGGUCAGAUUAAAAAUAAUCCUUGUUUUAUUUUAUCCCUUAUUACUCAGGGAGAUUUUUUUACGUAUAGUUAGUUAGAUGAAUGGGUUUUCAAACAAUCCAUUUAUAUUGUUUUCAUCUUUAUGUGGAAAUUAUAAUUUCUUUCAAAGUUAAAUUUCUUCUUAACCACACGGUAUGCAGUGGUUGCCCAGAUAGUGGGGCACAAAGCUGCCACACUUGAUCAACUACGGUGAUCAAAAACUCAACGGCAACAAACAAAACUUCACGGCAAUAAACAAAACUUCACGGCAACAAACAAAAC